AACUUUGGUAGUGAUUACUUUGCAUGCCUUUGAUAAUUUUCGGUUUGUUCCUUUUCAAUCAAGGAUCGAAUUUCAGCUUACUCUAUAUAUUUUCUUCUUCAAAUCAGUUUUGUUCUAUUUGAUUUGACAACGAACGAUGCUUUGAGGAUGGUGGUGGUUGGAUUGUGCUGGUUUUAGUACAGCUCUAUGGUGAUUUCGCUGUCAUUUUCUUAUAGCUUUGAGACACA
rnacentral:misc_RNA from 1 species